UCAACAUGGUUGGGCCUUUGAAAUCCCUAAUUUCCCAAAGCGCUAGAAACGAGUGAUAUACCUAUAUUGAAGACAAAACGUAUAUAUAUAUAUAUAUAUAUGUGUGUGUGUGUGGUGUUGAUUAUACUCCAGAAGCUUGAUUUGGAUAGAGAGAAUCUCCGAUGGUUGCUGCACGCUAUCUUCCUCCUUGGUUCAGUGUUGCUCCAAUGAUGGAUUGGACGGAUGUUCAUUAUAGGACUCUUGCUCGGCUUAUUUCCAAACAUUCAUGGCUUUAUACUGAAAUGCUUGCUGCUGAAACUAUUGUUUAUCAGAAGGGCAAUUUGGAACGAUUCUUGGCGUAUACUCCAGAACAACAUCCUAUCGUGCUUCAAAUUGGGGGAAAUAAUUUGGAAAACCUGGCAAAAGCAGCUGAACUAGCAAAUGCUUAUCGUUAUGAUGAAAUUAAUUUUAACUGUGGAUGUCCUAGCCCAAAGGUAGCUGGACGGUGUUUUGGUGCACGGCUUAUGCUUGAUCCAAAGUUUGUCGCCGAGGCUAUGUCAGUUAUUGCAGCCAACUCAGAUGCUCCAGUCAGUGUUAAGUGCCGCAUUGGUGUUGACAAUCAUGAUUCAUACAAUGAGCUCUGUGAUUUUAUUUAUAAGGUUUCUUCUCAAUCACCGACUAGGCAUUUCAUUAUACAUUCACGAAAGGCAUUGCUCAAUGGCAUUAGUCCAGCUGAUAAUCGAAAAAUCCCACCCCUGAAAUAUGAGUACUACUAUGCCCUAUUGCGUGACUUUCCGGACUUGACGUUUACUAUAAAUGGAGGCAUAAAUAGCAUCAAUGAGGUGAAUGCGGCUAGAAGGGAAGGUGCUCAUGGCGUGAUGGUUGGACGUGCCGCUUACCACAACCCUUGGUACACUUUGGGACAUGUUGAUACCGCAGUUUAUGGUGCACCUCACACUAAUCUUACACGUCGUCAGGUCCUUGAAAAUUACCAAGUUUAUGGGGAUUCUGUUCUGGGAAAGUAUGGACAAAAACCAACUGUUCGGGAUGUGGUUAAGCCUCUACUUGGUCUUUUCCAUUCGGAGCCUGGAAAUGGCUUGUGGAAGCGCAAAGCUGAUGCUGCUUUACAACAUUGCACGACUUUAAAAUCCUUUCUUGAGGAAACUCUCGGCGCAAUUCCUGACUCUGUUUUGGAUUCUACAGUUGGUGAGGCACCAUCUGGUUGCAUAGAUACUUUUGCAAAAUUAAAUGGUUUGCUACCUCCUCCAUAUGCAGCUAGAGAACAUGAACGCGAGGCUUUGUAUGCCUAGUUUGAAUAAUGUAUUCUAGUUUUAUAACUGACAAUGACUAUCUCAUUUGGGUGUGUUUAAUUGUUCCAAUUCUUUGGUAUAAUAGUCCCCAUGUAACAAUUCCUCCAAUACUUUAUCGUUGAUGUUUGAACAUGGGUGGGACAGGAUGGUAUUUUUCCUGAACUCAAAUUUUAUCAUGACUGGGGGCUUGAAAUUGUGUUUACUGUGAAGUUCAGAAUAUGAUUUUAGCCAAGACCUUCAAAUAGAAAGUAAAAUGCAAAGAGAAAGAUCAAAAGAAGAAUGUCUAACCCUUAAAAAUUUAUCAA